GAUGAAGAACGUAGCGAAAUGCGAUACGUAAUGUGAAUUGCAGAAUUCAGUGAAUCAUCGAAUCUUUGAACGCAUAUUGCGCUCUCUGGUAUUCCGGAGAGCAUGCUUGUUUGAGUAUCAGUAAACACCUCAACUUCCAUAUCUUUUUUUGAAAUGGGAGUUGGACUUGAGUGAUCCCAACGCUUUUCCUCACCGAAAAGUGGCGGGUUACUUGAAAUGCAGGUGCAGCUGGACUUUUCUCUGAGCUAUAAGCAUAUCUAUUUAUUCUGCCUAAAAAACAGAUUAUUACCUUUGCUGCAGCUAACAUAAAGGAGAUUAGUUCUUGUGCUGACUGAUGCAGGAUUCACAAAGACAGCUUCGGCCGACUUUGUAAACUCGAUCUCAAAUCAAGUAAGACUACCCGCUGAACUUAAGCAUAUCAAUAAGCGGAGGA
rnacentral:misc_RNA from 1 species